rnacentral:rRNA from 1 species
GGAGGAGGCUCUUGGGUUGUAAACCUCUUUUCUCAGGGAAGAACAGAAUGACGGUACCUGAGGAAUAAGCAUCGGCUAACUCCGUGCCAGCAGCCGCGGUAAUACGGAGGAUGCAAGCGUUAUCCGGAAUGAUUGGGCGUAAAGGGUCCGCAGGUGGCAUUGUAAGUCUGCUGUUAAAGAGUUUGGCUCAACCAAAUAAAAGCAGUGGAAACUACAAAGCUAGAGUGUGGUCGGGGCAGAGGGAAUUCCUGGUGUAGCGGUGAAAUGCGUAGAUAUCAGGAAGAACACCGGUGGCGAAGGCGCUCUGCUAGGCCAAGACUGACACUGAGGGACGAAAGCUAGGGGAGCGAAUGGGAUUAGAUACCCCAGUAGUCCUAGCCGUAAACGAUGGAUACUAGGCGUAGCUCGUAUCGACCCGAGCUGUGCCGUAGCUAACGCGUUAAGUAUCCCGCCUGGGGAGUACGCAGGCAACUGUGAAACUCAAAGGAAUUGACGGGGGCCCGCACAAGCGGUGGAGUAUGUGGUUUAAUUCGAUGCAACGCGAAGAACCUUACCAAGGCUUGACAUGUCACGAAUUCCGUUGAAAGAUGGAAGUGCCUUCGGGAGCGUGAACACAGGUGGUGCAUGGCUGUCGUCAGCUCGUGUCGUGA